rnacentral:rRNA from 1 species
GGGAUGGACAGACCGCUGGUGUACCUGUUGGCCUACCAAGGCCAUGGCAGGGUAGCCAAGUCUGGACGGGAUAAACGCUGAAGGCAUCUAAGCGUGAAGCCCCCCUCAAGAUGAGAUAUCCCAUCGCGAAAGCGGGUAAGACCCCUUGAAGACGACGAGGUAGAUAGGUUAGAGGUGGAAGUGCAGUAAUGUACGUAGCUGACUAAUACUAAUCGGUCGAGGGCUUAUCCAAAA